AAGAGCUGCAGAUGAGUCAUUUUUUCUGUCCUCUCCUCAGCCUGUAUCACCUCUUUGCUCAUCACCUGUGGUUGGACCCUGGAAACAUUUUACAUCAAAAAAUAUAUUAGGAGGUGAGGAGAAAGCUGCUGAAACUGAUGAAAAGACUCCUGUGACUAAAAGAGC